rnacentral:rRNA from 1 species
CCUACGGGAGACAGCAGUGGGGAAUAUUGGGCAAUGGGCGCAAGCCUGACCCAGCAACGCCGCGUGAAGGAAGAAGGCUCUCGGGGUGUAAACCUCUUUUUUCAGGGACGGAGAAAGUGACGGGACCGGAGGAAUAAGCCACGGCUAACUACGUGCCAGCAGCCGCGGUAAUACGGAGGUUGCAAGCGUUAUCCGGAUUUACUGGGUGUAAAGGGCGUGUAGGCGGGACUGCAAGUCAGAUGGGAAAACCACGGGCUCAACCUGUGGCCUGCAUUUGAAACGGUCGUUCUUGAGUACUGGGGAGGCAGGCGGAAUUCCUAGUGUAGCGGUGAAAUGCGUAGAUAUUAGGCGGAACUCCAGUUGCGAAGGCGGUCUGCUGGACUGCACCUGACGCUGAGGCGCGAAAGCGUGGGGAGCAAACAGGAUUAGAUACCCUAGUAGUC